rnacentral:rRNA from 1 species
AACUUCUGAAUGUUGACCUCGGAUCAGGUAGGAAUACCCGCUGAACUUAAGCAUAUCAAUAAGCGGAGGAAAAGAAACCAACAGGGAUUGCCCUAGUAACGGCGAGUGAAGCGGCAACAGCUCAAAUUUGAAAUCUGGCUCUCGGGCCCGAGUUGUAAUUUGUAGAGGAUGCUUUUGAUGCGGUGCCUUCCGAGUUCCCUGGAACGGGACGCCAUAGAGGGUGAGAGCCCCGUCUGGUUGGAUGCCAAAUCUCUGUAAAGCUCCUUCGACGAGUCGAGUAGUUUGGGAAUGCUGCUCUAAAUGGGAGGUAUAUGUCUUCUAAAGCUAAAUACCGGCCAGAGACCGAUAGCGCACAAGUAGAGUGAUCGAAAGAUGAAAAGCACUUUGAAAAGAGAGUUAAAAAGUACGUGAAAUUGUUGAAAGGGAAGCGUUUAUGACCAGACUUGGGCUUGGUUAAUCAUCUGGGGUUCUCCCCAGUGCACUUUUCCAGUCCAGGCCAGCAUCAGUUUUCGCCGGGGGAUAAAGGCUUCGGGAAUGUGGCUCUCUCCGGGGAGUGUUAUAGCCCGUUGCGUAAUACCCUGGCGGGGACUGAGGUUCGCGCAUCUGCAAGGAUGCUGGCGUAAUGGUCAUCAAC